AGCGAACGCUGGCGGUAGGCCUAACACAUGCCAGUCGAACGGCAGCACAGUAAGAGCUUGCUCUUACGGGUGGCGAGUGGCGGACGGGUGAGGAAUACAUCGGAAUCUACUUUUUCGUGGGGGAUAACGUAGGGAAACUUACGCUAAUACCGCAUACGACCUACGGGUGAAAGCAGGGGAUCUUCGGACCUUGCGCGAUUGAAUGAGCCGAUGUCGGAUUAGCUAGUUGGCGGGGUAAAGGCCCACCAAGGCGACGAUCCGUAGCUGGUCUGAGAGGAUGAUCAGCCACACUGGAACUGAGACACGGUCCAGACUCCUACGGGAGGCAGCAGUGGGGAAUAUUGGACAAUGGGCGCAAGCCUGAUCCAGCCAUACCGCGUGGGUGAAGAAGGCCUUCGGGUUGUAAAGCCCUUUUGUUGGAAAAGAAAAGCAGCAGGUUAAUACCCCGCUGUUCUGACGGUACCCAAAGAAUAAGCACCGGCUAACUUCGU
rnacentral:rRNA from 1 species